rnacentral:rRNA from 1 species
UACGUAGGGUGCAAGCGUUAAUCGGAAUUACUGGGCGUAAAGCGUGCGCAGGCGGUUGUGCAAGACAGAUGUGAAAUCCCCGGGCUUAACCUGGGAACUGCAUUUGUGACUGUACGGCUGGAGUACGGCAGAGGGGGAUGGAAUUCCGCGUGUAGCAGUGAAAUGCGUAGAUAUGCGGAGGAACACCGAUGGCGAAGGCAGUCCCCUGGGCCUGUACUGACGCUCAUGCACGAAAGCGUGGGGAGCAAACAGG